rnacentral:misc_RNA from 1 species
GAUGAAGAACGUAGCGAAAUGCGAUAAGUAAUGCGAAUUGCAGAAUUUCCGUGAGUCAUCGAAUCUUUGAACGCACAUUGCGCCCACUGGUAUUCCGGUGGGCAUGCCUGUUCGAGCGUCAUUAUCCUCCCUCAAACCCCGGGUUUGGUGUUGGACCCAAGUUGUGUGAACAACUGGUCUCAAAGACAAUGACGGCGUCCGUGGGACCCUCGGUGCAACGAGCUUUUAGGAGCAAGCAUCGAGUUGCAAGGACCUUCCGGGCCGGUCUCCUUUACCAUUUUACAAGGUUGACCUCGGAUCAGGUAGGAAUACCCGCUGAACUUAAGCAUAUCAAUAAGCGGAGGA